UUUUCUGAGAGUUUGAUCCUGGCUCAGGAUGAACGCUGGCGGCGUGCCUAAUACAUGCAAGUCGAGCGGUAAGGCUCCUUCGGGAGUACACGAGCGGCGGACGGGUGAGUAAUGUAUAGGAACAUACCCCAAAGUGAGGGAUAAGCCAGAGAAAUCUGGUCUAAUACCGCAUG
rnacentral:rRNA from 1 species